rnacentral:rRNA from 1 species
UACAGAGGGGGCAAGCGUUGUUCGGAAUUACUGGGCGUAAAGGGCGCGUAGGCGGCCUGCUAAGUCGAACGUGAAAUCCCUGGGCUCAACCCAGGAACUGCGUCCGAUACUGGUUGGCUUGAAUCCGGGAGAGGGAUGUGGAAUUCCAGGUGUAGAGGUGAAAUUCGUAGAUAUUGGGAAGAACACCGGUGGCGAAGGCGGCGACCUGGUCCUUAUACUGACGCUGAGGCGCGAAAGCGUGGGGAGCAAACAGG